CCCGUGCCCCACGGUUUAUUACAAAGUUGAUGACACCAGAGAUCACUUGUUUCAGAGGCAGCCUGAGCAGGUCUGGGUUCCCGAUCCACCCGAAUUCUCUCCUACAGAAGACACCCUGGACAUUCUGUCAGUCACAAGAACUCUGACAAGAAGGACGAUGACCACCAGCCUGGCUAGCCAGGUAGUUGAGACCCUUGCUGUAGAGAUGACUAGAAAUAAAGUCCCAAUUGUCGCACCGGCCUGGGCGCAGGCCCUCCCUCAGAGCAGGCUGAUGGCUUCGAGGUCCAAGGAAUGUGCUUCUUUUCCUAAAGCCUGGCUCCUCACGCGCCCUUCAGCCUUGGCCAGCUGCAGAGCAGUCAACUUCACUCCUGCGAAGCUUCCUCCUCCUUAACAUUAGUAGGCUGCAGCCUCUUGCCAGGUAAUGCACGGACAACAACAAUCAGCAUAUAGAUUGAGCUGCUAGUAUAAGAAGAACAAAAUGAAUGAAGGAGCCGAGAAUGUUAUAGAGCUGAGUUGGCCUCUUCUGGGGAGAAGAUAGCUUCUCAGGGGAGGGGCUGAUCAGCUGUCUCUAUUAGUUAGCGAAGGAGAUGGAAAGAGUUUUAACAGGCUGUGGUAUUACAAGGUCCCCUCCUGCAGCCCCUCAGACACAUGCAGGAGCAGACGGGGAAGGGACAGAGGGAAUAAACUGGGCUGAGGAUGUGAGUCUGCUUCUCUGUUUUCUCAUGAAGCUGAAUGACAACACUACACUGAGCCCUGGCCCUGUCCUCGCUGGAGAAAUUUCUGCUUAUGUCAUCUAUUGGUGGUGCUGAUCCAGAGUGUGCGCCCUCCUCCUGUCACCACCUCCACGGGAGCCUCCUCCACUCCACCUGUUGCUGCUUCUGUGUGCUGCACAGCUGGCCUUGUCCCUAUCGGAGGUGUGUCCUGCUCCCAAGCUGGAGGAAAACGUGAGAAGGCUCAGGAAGAUCAGAAGCCUUGCUGGGCCCUGGAGGCAGGGCUGACGUCUGUCAGCAGACCAACAGAUUUCCCUGCAUACUUGCUGUGUAGCGGGUGUUCUACCCCAUGCUGGAGGUGCCUUGUCACCUGAUACUGGGUGUGUGUCCCCAGAAGAACACUCCAGUGGAUGGAAGAAGCAGAUCAGGAGCUCCGGAAGGAAGUGUUCCCUGUGACACAGCAAAAAGGCAGAGCCAGGC